CACUAAGAAGCUUAUCUAGGACCAAGCGCCAGCCUUUUAAGCUGGAGACUGGUGACUCCUCCCCACCCUUAGUGA
rnacentral:tRNA from 1 species